UGCAGAUGAUGCUACUGAAUAUUUGCUAACGGAGGUUUUGAUGACGACACCAUAACCACCAAGAUCUCUGAUGCC
ensembl:snoRNA SNORD24 Small nucleolar RNA SNORD24